rnacentral:rRNA from 1 species
UACGUAGGCAGCAAGCGUUGUUCGGAAUUACUGGGCGUAAAGAGUGUGUAGGCGGUGCUCUAAGUUCGGUGUGAAGUCUCCCGGCUCAACUGGGAGGGUGCGCCGGAAACUGGAAUGCUUGAGCGUGGGAGAGGAAAGCGGAAUUCCUGGUGUAGCGGUGAAAUGCGUAGAUAUCAGGAGGAACACCUGCGGUGUAGACGGCUUUCUGGACCAUUGCUGACGCUGAGACACGAAAGCGUGGGUAGCAAACAGG